CCGACGGGCGCGGCGACAAAAACUGUGAAAGUAUUCUACCGGCAACGGCAUCAAACAAACUACCUUUCCCAGCAUGCAAAGCGCCGCUUCCUUUCUUUUCUCGGCCCCUUCCUCCUUUUCUUUAUUGGAACUUGCUCGAAGGCGAAAUUGGCCGCGUGUUUCUCUCAAGGCUCGUUCUUUCGCUUGAAGUGUGCUGGUCCGUACUUUAAGAAGAGUGAUUUAUGGUGCUGGUUGUCUCCAAGAACCUUGGCCCUUCUUGACUAGUAUGGUUUUAAUUUUGAACGAUAACAACUGGUCUAGGUUUCAGACGGCCGAGCCUUUCUCAUCCCUGCUUCCUCAGGCGGCAGGUGGGGCCUCUGGUGUUCAAAGACUCACCUAUACACAAAAACUCUCUAAAUGCUCUGAUGCUGUAGUCUAGGGGUGGGCAACUUGCGGCCCUCCAGACGUUGCUGGAGAGCAACUUUCUACACAUCACCGUAGGCCAUGAUGAAUAAGGCUCACGGAAAUUGUAGUCCCAACGACGUAUGCAGGACUGUACUUCAAACUGAACCCAGAAGCUAUCUUGAAGCCAGUGAAGGUGGCAUAGCUUGGACUGCUCUGCUUCAUGUGGCCUGUAACUCCCAUCAGCCCUAACAAGUGAAGUCUGAGAUUUUGUUCCCUUCCUUUCUGCUGGACAUUCUGGAAGAUCCAAGAGCCUGCACAUUCAUUAGUCUGGGUCACAACAGAAGUUGAAGGGAACACGGAAGCCUUAUCGAAUGCCAGUUAGAACCAGAAAUGAUAAUGAAUUAGCCAAGCCUGGACAAUUCUAUGCAACUGAAAUGCAAUUCUGGAUUCCACUCCAAAGAAAAACUGAUGUCCUCUGUGUGCAGCAAAAGAGGCAGCAGCAGAAGGAAAAGAAACCUGGUGGAGUCUGAAACAUCUAGAGAGUAACUGCCUAGUCACAGUCAACAUGACCACUGAAGCUCAUUUGUGAGCAGCAAUCCCACAAAAUCCUGAAAAACUUGAAGCACCUUAUAACAUGGGGAAGAAAGAAAUACUACAGGAACAUCCACUAGAAAGUGUGGACAUAUAAUGCAACCUGGACCAUGGUUGUCUAAUAACACACAGCAGGUUCCAUGAAGGCGCAGAGCCCAUAUGAGUGAUGCACAGAGACCACAAAGAAGAACUAAAGCAUUCUGCAGGAACCUGAACUUGAUUUGCUGGAUUCAAUGUGCCACUAGGCUCAACUGUGGCAUUGCGGAGUUUUGUUUAGAUUUUACACAGGAAGGAGCAUACUGAAAAAAAUAUUUUAUUCAAGCCAGAUGAAGACCUCUGGUACAGCAUUAGGAAGAGAUAUGGCAAUUACUUAAGUCAUCUGUAGCCUGGUAAGUAGAUUAGAUGGAAAACCUCUCAGAAAAUGAAAUAUGACCAUUAGAUACGGGAAUCAAAUUAUGGAACAAGUUGCAUUAUUGAAGUUCUCUAUUUGCUGUUUUUAUUACAAUAGAAGAAAUAUGAUGGCCCAGUUCUAAUAAAAUGUUUUGUCUUGUUUAGCUAUUCCAUAACAUAAAGUUUUUCCAACUCAAGCAGGCAAUUUCAUAAAAUUGUAGUGCGUAUCUUCUUUCCUUUCAGCUAUGUGAAACCUUCUUCAAGAUCUUCAGAGGCCCAGGGGCUCCUGAUCUCUAGAAGGAACAACUUCGGGGUAGUGUACCAUCCCUAGCACUUUCAGGGAGGAGGACAUAGAGCAGAUCACUCAUGAAUAGAGUUCAGCUACUGUGAUCAUGCCCAUUACAUGAUCCAUUACAGUACAUUAUCAUGACUUCUGGCCUUCUGGCUAACUUAUUCUCUUCUCUGACACCACUUCAAAGCAAUCUAUAAAGCAGUGUCCAGACUAUCAGUUUCCCCUUCCACUUACCUCCGAUUCCUCCAAAUCCUUUCACAAACUGAGAUCCUUCCUGUGACUUGUCUGUCACAAUUUCCAACGUGGCUCCA